GCGGGCGGGACACGGCGGCGGGCGGGACGGGGACGGGGGCGAGGGCCGCGGAGAUGUCGGCGGUGGCGUCGAUGGCGGUGGCGUCGAUGGCGGCAGCACGAGGUGGAGAUGGUGCAGGGGCAGGAGCCGGCUGCAAAGCAGAAGAUUAAUUAAGAGGCUGUGCCACUGCCUCGCUGUGAUCUCAGUAACUGAACCGUUAAAGUGAUUUAUUCUUUGCAGGGUAAUUACAUUCCCCCUCUCUCUGUUAUCCAUCCCCUGAUCUGUGCUGCACACACACCCAGUCAGGAGCAGGCGUGUGGCCCGUGAGUCCAUGUGUCAGAGGGGAGAUGGCCUGGCUGCCCCUUCUGCUUCCUGUGCCUUGGUGUUACAGCCUCUGUAGCACACAGAGAAGUGCUUGUGUGGAUUGUGUGCUGUUGGUGUGGAUUGUGUGCUGUUUGUGUGGAUUCAAUGCUUCCAGACCCUCACACAGCUCUGGGAUCUCUCCAUGGGCCACUAUGGCCGGACACAGCAGUGCUGCUGCACCACAGGUUUUGACUGAGGGUCCAGCCUGGCUUUGUAUUUUGUUAUCAAUACCAAUUUCUGAUGCAUGCUGUGCAGUCAGGUUUCUUGCUGCAUUUUUAAAGGUACAUUUCACAUGGACAAGUUUGGGAAACUCCUUUGCAGAGCUCUUGUCCUAACAGUCCCAGUGAAGGCAGGAAUGAGUAGGAGCCUUUAAAAUCAGACAACCACAGAACCAUAGCAUCAUUAAUAUAAGAAAACAUUUUAAAGCUCAAGUCCAAUUGUCACCCCAGUAUCCCACCAUGUUCACCACUAAAGGAUGUCACCACAUGUUUUUUUAACACUUCCAGGGAUGGGAACAUUUACAUUUAGAGUAUUAGAAAUAGUAUUUUUCAGAGGAACAGUCCUUUUCCCUGUGAAAUCUUUCAUUUAUUAAUAAUAACCAGGCAUUCAGUACAGCCGUAUUCUCUCUUAAAACACUGCAUCCUUUCCUUUUCAGCACCAUUUCCUCGGCACAUCACUCCCCCCUUUCUGGCCCAGCUGCUUCCACGGAUUUCAGCGUCACACUUUUCCCUCGGGGCCGUGCAGCCUGGCCGCCCGCCCGCUCCCUGCCCAGGCCUGUCCUGCUCGCGGGUGCUCCUUUCGGGCCAGGAACAUUAGAGGGAGCUGGAGACUCGCCGUGCCCGGCUGGAUGGCUGGAGGCGGCUGGCGGCUGGCAGGAAUGGCCUGCAGGCACGUCCCAAGCGCCGGGGGGUAACUGGCCGUGUCAUCCCACACGUAUCCAGCUCCAGGAGUGCCGCUGAGGGGCUCCUGCUCUUCCUGGGAGGUGCUGGAUCACCCAGCCCAGCCCAUGCUGCUGCUGGAGGCUGAAGUUUAGUCACCAUAGCAUUCUCUGCUCCAAAAUCCCAGCAAAUUCACCCUCGACAAACUGUCGAGGGGUCGGUGUGCCUGUCAGGGAGGACGGGUGCUUCUCCAUCACCUGGGAUGGGGAUUCUGCACCCGUUCAAUCCUGGUCUUCCCAGCACCACCAGCCUGCUCUGUGCCAUGCUCACAGCGCCAGCCCUGCCACCCUGCAUCUGACAGAUCCUGGCUAUUCAGCCCGUGGUAAACUAAAUCAGGGUGGUUUGUGUUGUGGCAGGAGCCAGAAGCUUAACUCGAGAGCAGUGUAAGGAAACACAGACAUGGAUCUCAGGGACAAUGGAUCUGUGUGGGACACUCACCAUGACACUGUGGGAUGGGGUGGCAGGUUUGCUGCAGCAACCCAGCACCAACACCACGGUGAUCAGACCAGAGAAAUAAAAAGAUGAGUGUCCUACAGGAGACUUUACCACCCCAAAAAUAAACUUGGGAAUGAACACUCCUAUAAAA